rnacentral:misc_RNA from 1 species
AAGUCGUAACAAGGUUUCCGUAGGUGAACCUGCGGAAGGAUUAGAAAAAGCAGCAAUCUGGUAAAUCAUCGCCGAACAGUUUUCGAUUCAGACGUCUGCAAGGAGCGUGCAUGUUGUGCGUGUAAGUGGCCUGGCAUCCCCAAGCAGUUAGUGUCUGAAAGUGUCACUAACGUUAGUGUCUGAAAGUGUCACUAACAUGUGUAAGGAUGACGCAGUCACGAUCGUUGGAGGCCCACACGGCCGACGACCGGGUCACUGGGUGCAAGCCCCCUUAUCACACCCCUGCUCUAUCUAUGGUGAUCCUGCGGGAAGUCCUGCGGUCGAACGCCGAAACCGAACAACUGUUAACAAUGGAUAUCUUGGUUCUC